AUUGAACGCUGGCGGCAGGCCUAACACAUGCAAGUCGAGCGGAGCGGCGGACGGGUGAGUAAUGCCUAGGAAUCUGCCCGGUAGUGGGGGAUACCGCCCGGAAACGGGCGCUAAUACCGCAUACUAUCAGAUGACCUUAGGUCGGAUUUGCUAGUUGGUGGGGUAAUGGCCUACCAAGGCUACGAUCCGUAACUGGUCUGAGAGGAUGAUCAGUCACACUGGAACUGAGACAGGGUCCAGACUCCUACGGGAGGCAGCAGUGGGGAAUAUUGGACAAUGGGCGAAAGCCUGAGCCAGCCAUGCCGCGUGUGUGAAGAAGGUCUUCGGAUUGUAAAGCACGUUAAGUUGGGAGGCGUUACCAACAGAAUAAGCACCGGCUAACUUCGUGCCAGCAGCCGCGGUAAUUC
rnacentral:rRNA from 1 species